UACGGAGGGAGCUAGCGUUGUUCGGAAAUACUGGGCGUAAAGGGUGCGUAGGCGGCGGGGCCAGUCUGAUGUGAAAUCCCGGGGCUCAACCCCGGAACUGCAUUGGAUACUGCCUUGCUAGAGUACUGGAGAGGGAACUGGAAUUUACGGUGUAGCAGUGAAAUGCGUAGAGAUCGUAAGGAAGGCCAGUGGCGAAGGCGAGUUCCUGGACAGUGACUGACGCUGAGGCACGAAGGCCAGGGGAGCAAACGGG
rnacentral:rRNA from 1 species